rnacentral:tRNA from 1 species
AUUUAUAUAGUUUAUAAUAAAACAUUACAUUUUCAUUGUAAAAUUAAGAUAUAUUCUUUUUAAAUA